rnacentral:rRNA from 1 species
ACAUAUACAGGAAUGUGUUAGAGAUACAGCAGCCGCCUUGCGGUCUGUAUACAGGUGCUGCAUGGCUGUCGUCAGCUCGUGCUGUGAAGUGUGGGGUUAAGUCCCGCAACGAGCGCAACCCCUAUCAUCUGUUGCCAGCAUCUAAGGUGGGACGUCAGAUGAGACUGCCGGUGACAAACCGGAGGAAGGUGGGGACGACGUCAAGUCAUCAUGGCCCUUAUGUCCUGGGCUACACACGUGCUACAAUGGUUGGUACAAUGGGCAUCUACCCCGAAAGGGGAAGGAAAUCUCUUAAAGCCAAUCGUAGUUCGGAUUGAGGGCUGCAACUCGCCCUCAUGAAGCUGGAAUCCGUAGUAAUCGCGUUUCAACAGAACGCGGUGAAUACGUCCCUGCUCCUU